AAUUAUCCCUUCAAAGGAUCGAUAAGGAAGCGGCUUCAGUAAGAGGAUAUAAUCGAUUGCGUUGGGAAAGGUUUUUCGAAGGAACGUCCAACGGUUCAUACGGAUCAUGGGUCAAAGUUGAAUUUUUGCUCUAAUGCGGGAACGUUCCUUCGUAGAAAAAUUAGGGACGAUAAGGAAAACCUUAGGGCGAUUAAUAGUGAUUCCGAAAAAGAUGUUAUGCGAAUCAAUAUUGAAGAAGAAGAAGAGGAUGAAGAUGAAGAAGAAGGAGAUACAGGGGAUGAAGUAGUAGAGGAGAUAUACUAAACUAACCGAAGACGACAGCAGUUCCAAUAGCGUGGAUGUAUUGCAAAGGAGCCGAAUUGACUUAUAUUUGAAUUGUAAUUCCAAAGAAAAACAACGCUCCACCAGAUAAUAAAACAUUGCACAUCCAAAGUGAAACACAUUUCCGUUGACACUUUCUGUUUCUCCGUACAUCUGACGAUACAUCCUACAUGGAUAGUACAAAUGCCAGACCAUCAACGAGAUUAAUAUAUGGAAACAUUUUCCUUUUUACAUUUAUGUUUAAAUGGAAAAUCAAUCAAUGCUGUGUUUAUUUAAUUGUAAGAUAUUUUAGAGAUCAUAUGCAGCCGAAGAAAGUAUUAUUAUUUAUAAGUGAAUUUAUCUCAAAUAUUCUAAAUGGUAUGAAUCCCAAAUUGGAGUAAUUAUCCGGUAACUUCUAUAAUAUGGAAAUGGUAUUUUCUAAUAAAUCUUAUACAAAUAUAGUGCUAAAUUUAAAGAAUAUUAAUGGAAUAAUAGAAUGAUUAGUGAUAAAGAUGUUUCAAUCGUUUCUAUUAUUUGUAAAGCUGUUGUUUGGCACGUAUGAUAGCUAGGGAUUAUUUAUCGUAUGAGACACACUUGCGUAUUACUGGGUCGAAAAUCACGGAAGGAAUGACUUACCCUAGUUUAAUUAGCCACAUGUUAGCUGGAUAGAAGACCAAGCUUCGUAAAAUCUAAUUCCCUAACUAGAACGCAUGGGGAUAAAUAAUUUCCCCUCUCCUAUAGUUAUGUAAUUAUAUGUAUAUAUAUUCUAUGUUCACGCGAAAUUAUCUGUGUAAUAUAUCUUGGAAUUUCCUAAUGAGAAUCUUACAAUAAUUCGUCUAUUUUUUAAUUGAAAUAAUCGUAUAAAACUGUAAUUAUUUAUGAUAUAAUUAACUAUUAUAAUAAUAAUUAUUGUAAUUAUCAAGACUAAUUAAUCGGAUAUUCAUAUAGGAAAUUCGCACUCUUACUUCUUUCGUAAGUCUACCUUAUACUUACUAGUUAUAUUUAAUAGAUUAAAUGUUUAUUUAUUGGAAAAGAGAUUGGAUUACAAUCUCGCUAAGUAGAUACAUGUCGAAGAACUUUAAACGGAAAUGAAAGUAGCUAAUUUUCUUACCGUAAAUAAUUUCUUCGAAGAAAAUGUAUAUUGGAGUAAAUUUUUUUCGAAUUUAAGUUUACCGUAAUAUAUCGAAAUAAAGAACGAACAUUUUCUUAUAAAUACAAAUAUAUGACUACAGCAACUAUUCCUAAACCCAACAAAAUAAUAAUUAAAAUGCUAUGAAUCAAGAGAAUCAAUUUCAUUUCUAUGAUAUAGAAAUGAAAUUUUCUACUAAAUCUAAUCGUUUUUAAGCCGUUUGUAUUAUUUGUAAAGCUGUUCUUUGGUACGUAUGACAACUAGGGAUUAUUUCGGGUAUGAGACACACUUGCGUAUUACUGGGUCGAAAAUCACGGAAGGAAUGACUUAUCCUAGUUAAAUUGGUCACGUCAUAACGAUAGAAGACCAAGCUUCCUAGAUUCUAAUUCUCUAACUAGAACGCAUGGGGAUAAAUAUUUCCCCUCUCCUAUAGUUACGUAAUUAUAUUUGUAUCUUUAUGUAAAUAUUAUACUCUAUGUCUCGUUA